rnacentral:rRNA from 1 species
AUGGAACAAGGCCCCAAGAAGCAAGUGCUAAGUGUCACUCCUUCCUCGGAUAGGUGGCACCGGCGCCUAGGGCAUCCUUCAUCUACUAUCAUUAGCAAAAUAACUAGCCAGAAUAAGCUUCCAUGUGUUAAGUUAGCCAAUGAAUUUGUUUGUGAUUCUUGUCAACGAGGCAAAAGCCAUCAGUUGCCUUAUCCAAAAUCAAUAAGUGAAUCGAAGUUUCCUUCGGAAAUUGUUUUUUCUGAUGUGUGGGGACCAGCCGUUGAAUCCGUAGGUAGAAAGAAAUACUAUGUGAGCUUUAUCGAUGAUUUUAGCAAGUUCACAUGGAUCUACCUAAUCAAA